rnacentral:misc_RNA from 1 species
GAAUGGAAUCACUGAGCCGAACGAGUGAAUUGAGAGCCUGUGAUCGGACGAUGGAGGUUGACUCAAAAGAGAAGAUGGAUUCUAUCUCCACCCAGUUUUCAGAUAUUGCGGUGUACAUAUCGAGCACACGAAACAUUUUCUCCGUUGACGAUUUCUUUGUUUUGACUAAAACUUCAGGAAUUCCAAAGAGAAGAAUAGCUCCUUCUCUGGAUAUUUCACUGAAACAAGACUCCCUGAUGGAAUCGGAAAUCGAGAAAACGUGAUCACAAAGAAUUCUCUCUCCGUUGAAGAGAGUUCUCAAG